UACGUAGGGGGCAAGCGUUGUCCGGAAUCAUUGGGCGUAAAGAGCGUGUAGGCGGCCCGGUAAGUCCGCUGUGAAAGUCCAGGGCUCAACCCUGGGAUGCCGGUGGAUACUGUCGGGCUCGAGUCCGGAAGAGGCGAGUGGAAUUCCUGGUGGUAGCGGUGAAAUGCGCAGAUAUCAGGAGGAACACCGAUGGCGAAGGCAGGUCUCUGGGCCAUAACUGACGCUGAGAAGCGAAAGCAUGGGGAGCGAACAGG
rnacentral:rRNA from 1 species